rnacentral:rRNA from 1 species
AUAGAUGCUGGUCUCUGAGACUAAGCCAUGCAUGUUAGCGAACAGGCGGAGCGACGAACGGCUCAGUAGUGCUGCGAGGAUCUGUGCCCGCGGGGCGAUAACCACGGGAAACUGGGGCUAAGCGCGGGCGUGAGCCGCAGCCCUAUCAGCUAGUUGGCAGUGUAACGGACUACCAAGGCGGUGACGGGUGCCGGGAGAUAGGGGUCUUGUUCCGGAGAGGGAGCCUGAGAGAUGGCUACCAGGUCCAAGGACAGCAGCAGGCGCGAAAAUUACCGAAGCCUGCCUCAGGGCGGUAGUAAGGAGACGUUGACUGAUGCGCGUGUAAAGACCGCGCUCGAUACAGGAGGACAAGACUGGUGCCAGCAGCCGCGG